UACGGGGGGGGUAAGCGUUGUUCGGAAUUACUGGGCGUAAAGGGCUCGUAGGCGGCCAACUAAGUCAGACGUGAAAUCCCUCAGCUUAACUGGGGAACUGCGUCUGAUACUGGAUGGCUUGGAUUCGGGAGAGGAAUGCGGAAUUCCAGGUGUAGCGGUGAAAUGCGUAGAUAUCAGGAGGAACACCCGUGGCGAAAGCGGCUCUCUGGGACGGUACUGACGCUGAGACGCGAAAGCGUGGGGAGCAAACAGG
rnacentral:rRNA from 1 species